rnacentral:antisense_RNA from 1 species
GAGGGCGCCGGAGCCGGGCAGGGCGGAGAGAUGCGCCAGCGGACUUCUAUUUGGAACUGAGUCCGACAGCUCAGGACUGGCUGCUCAGACUCCACAAUUUAAUGAAAAAUCUGAGAUGAUGACUCAGAAAACCUCUAACGAUCUGAGGAAUAUAUUAAGGGAUUCCAAAGUCAAAGGCUGAUCAUGGAGGGCAUUGAUGAGGGGAGACUUCAGGUGGCCAGAGACUAGAAGAAAGGAACACCGGAAGAAUGAAAACGGUUGUGAUGCACUGCAGUGUGAA